AGAAUAUCCUAGAUGGGGUCAAUGGAUGAUCAAUAAGACCGAUGUCCUAGAUAGGUAAUUUAACCUCCAUGGCAUUUUGGAUGGGUGCCUACCUAAGGUCAGCCCAGGUGGUCGAGCCUACUUUAUAAUGUAUGACUUUGCAUUAUUACAUAUUUUU